AGCUAGGGUAGCAAACGGGAUUAGAGACCCCGGUAGUCCUAGCCCUAAACGAUGUAGACUAGACGUCGGCGGUGUAAUAGCUGUCGGUGUCCAAGCUAACGCGAUAAGUCUACCGCCUGGGGACUACGGCCGCAAGGUUAAAACUCAAAGGAAUUGACGGGUCCCCCGCACAAGCAGCGGAGCGUGUGGUUUAAUUCGUUGCUACACGAAGAACCUUACCUGGGUUUGACAUAGCAGUGGUAGGGAAGAGAAAUCGGACCGACCCUUCGGGGAGCUGUUACAGGUGUUGCAUGGCUGUCGUCAGCUCGUGUCGUGAGAUGUUCGGUUAAGUCCGCUAACGAGCGCAACCCGCGUUGUGUGUUAUAUGUGUCACACAAUACCGCCGGUAUUAAGCCGGAGGAAGGUGCGGAUGACGUCAAGUCAGCAUGACCUUUACAUCCAGGGCUACACACACGCUACAAUGGACAGUACAACAGGUUGCCAAGCCGCGAGGCGGAGCCAAUCCUCUAAAGCUGUCCUCAGUUCAGAUUGCAGGCUGCAACUCGCCUGCAUGAAGUUGGAGUUGCUAGUAACCGCAGGUCAGCUAUACUGCGGUGAAUACGUUCCCGGGGAUUGUACACACCGCCCGUCAAGUCAUGGAAGCUGGCAACACCUGAAGCCGGUAUCCUAACCCGUAAGGGAGGGAGCUGUCAAAGGUGGGGUCGGUGACUGGGACUAAGUCGUAACAAGGUAGGUGUACCGGAAGGUGCCGGCUGGAUCAC
rnacentral:rRNA from 1 species